rnacentral:rRNA from 1 species
CGCGUAGGCGGGCCGUCAGGCCCGCGGUGAAAUCCCCCGGCUCAACCGGGGAAGUGCCGCGGGGACCGGCGGUCUGGAGUGAGAUAGGGGCGUGCGGAACUGUGGGUGGAGCGGUGAAAUGCGUUGAUAUCCACAGGAACUCCGGUGGCGAAGGCGGCACGCUGGAUCUCGACUGACGCUGAGGCGCGAAAGCCAGGGGAGCGAACG